GUUUUGCUUUACGAUUGUCCCCUGAGCUAGCCUCUGUUGCCCUGCUUCCUCAGUUUAAGAUGGCGGAUUUCUCAGUGUUGCUGUUUCGCCAGAUCUCGACGCCCUUGUGUCUUUUUUUUCUGCCUAAUGGUUGGCACCUGAGCUAGCAUCUGUUGCCCAUCUUCUUCAGUUUGAGAGGGUAGAUUUCUCGGUGUUGCUUUUUCGCCAGCUCUCCACGCCCUUGCGUCUUUUUUUUUUCUGCUUAAAGGUUGCAACCUGAGCUAGCUUCUUUUGCCCAUGUUCGUCAGUUUCAGAGGGUGGAUUUCUCCGUGUUGCUUUUUCCCCAGGUCUCCACGCCCUUGUGUGUUUCUUUUGCUUUACGAUUGCCACCUGAGGUAGCCUCUGUUGCCCAUCCUCAUCAGUUUCAGAAGGUAGAUUUCUCAGUGCUGCUUUUCCCCCAGGUCUCCACGCCCUUGUGUGUUUCUUUUGCUUCAACUUUGCCACCUGAAGCCAGCCUCUCUUGCCCAUCUUCCUCAGUUUCAGAGGGUAGAUAUUUCAGGGUUGCUUUUUCCCCAGGUCUCCACGCCUUUGUGUUUUGUUUUUGCUUAACUAUUGCCACCUGAGCUAGCCUCUCUUGCCCAUCUUCCUCAGUUUCAGAGGGCGGAUUUCUCCGUGUUGCUUUUUCCCCAGGUCUCCACGCCCUUGUGUGUUUCUUUUGCUUAACGAUUGCCACCUGAGGUAGCCUCUGUUGCCCAUCCUCGUCAGUUUCAGAGGGUAGAUUUCUCAGUGCUGCUUUUUCCCCAGGUCUCCACGCCCUUGUGUGUUUCUUUUGGCUUAAAGUUUGCCACGUGAGGUAGCCUCUGUUGCCCAUCCUCGUCACUUUCAGAGGGUGGAUUUCUCAGGGUUGCUUUUUCCCCAGGUCUCCAUGCCUUUGUGUUUUGUUUUUGCUUAACGAUUGCCACCUGAGGUAGCCUCUCUUGCCCAUCUUCCUCAGUUUCAGAGGGUGGAUUUCUCCGUGUUGCUUUUUCCCCAGGUCUCCACGCCCUUGUGUGUUUUUUUUGCUUAAAGAUUGCCACCUGAGCUAGCCUCUGUUGCCCAUCUUCGUCCGUUUCAGAGGGUGGAUUUCUCAGUGUUGCUUUUUCCCCAGCUCUCCACGCCCUUGUGUGUUUCUUUUGCUUAAAGAUUGCCACCUGAGCUAGCCACUGUUUCCCAUCUUCGUCCGUUUCAGAGGAUGGAUUUCUCAGUGUUGCCUUUUCGCCAGCUCCCCACGCCCUUGUGUGUUUCUUUUGCUUAAAGAUUGCCACCUGAGCUAGCCUCUGUUGCGCUUCUUUCUCAGUUUCAGAGGGUAGAUUUCUCCGUGUUGCUUUUUCCCCAGGUCUCCACUCACUUCCUUUUAUUUUUUCUUCAUAAUUGCCACCUGAGCUAGCCUCUGUUGCCCAUCUUCGUCGGUUUCAGAGGGUAGAUUUCUCAGCGUUGCUUUUUCCCCAGGUCUCUACGUGCUUGUGUGUGUGGUGUG
rnacentral:lncRNA from 1 species